rnacentral:tRNA from 1 species
UCCCUGGUAGCACAGCUGGUAAAGAAUCUAUCUGUGAAGCAGGAGACCCUGGUUCAAUUCCUGGUUUGGGAA